rnacentral:rRNA from 1 species
AUUGAACGCUGGCGGAAUGCUUUACACAUGCAAGUCGAACGGUAGAGGGGGCAACCCCUCGAGAGUGGCGAACGGGUGAGUAAUAUAUCGGAACGUGCCCAGUCGUGGGGGAUAACGUAGCGAAAGUUACGCUAAUACCGCAUACGAUCUAAGGAUGAAAGCGGGGGAUCGCAAGACCUCGCGCGAUUGGAGCGGCCGAUAUCAGAUUAGGUAGUUGGUGGGGUAAAGGCUCACCAAGCCAACGAUCUGUUGCUGGUCUGAGAGGACGACCAGCCACACUGGAACUGAGACGCGGUCCAGACUCCUACGGGAGGCAGCAGAGGGGAAUUUUGGACAAUGGACGCAAGUCUGAUCCAACCAUUCCGCGUGCAGGAUGAAGGCCCUCGGGUUGUAAACUGCUUUUGUACGGAACGAAAAGGUCUCUCUUAAUACGGGGGGCUCAUGACGGUACCGUAAGAAUAAGCACCGGCUAACUACGUGCCAGCCGCCGCCGUAA